ACAUGCAAGUCGAGGGGAAACGACAUCGAAAGCUUGCUUUUGAUGGGUGUCGACCGGCGCACGGGUGAGUAACGCGUAUCCAACCUGCCCACCACAUGGGGAUAACCUUGCGAAAGUAAGACUAAUACCCAAUGAUAUCUCUAGAAGACAUCUGAAAGAGAUUAAAGAUUUAUCGGUGAUGGAUGGGGAUGCGUCUGAUUAGCUUGUUGGCGGGGUAACGGCCCACCAGGGCGACGAUCAGUAGGGGUUCUGAGAGGAAGGUCCCCCACAUUGGAACUGAGACACGGUCCAAACUCCUACGGGAGGCAGCAGUGAGGAGUAUUGGUCAAUGGACGAGAGUCUGAACCAGCCAAGUAGCGUGCAGGAUGACGGCCCUAUGGGUUGUAAACUGCUUUUAUAAGGGAAUAAAGUGAGUCUCGUGAGACUUUUUGCAUGUACCUUAUGAAUAAGGACCGGCUAAUUCCGUGCCAGCAGCCGCGGUAAUACGGAAGGUCCGGGCGUUAUCCGGAUUUAUUGGGUUUAAAGGGAGCGUAGGCCGGAGAUUAAGCGUGUUGUGAAAUGUAGACGCUCAACGUCUGCACUGCAGCGCGAACUGGUUUCCUUGAGUACGCACAAAGUGGGCGGAAUUCGUGGUGUAGCGGUGAAAUGCUUAGAUAUCACGAAGAACUCCGAUUGCGAAGGCAGCUCACUGGAGCGCAACUGACGCUGAAGCUCGAAAGUGCGGGUAUCGAACAGGAUUAGAUACCC
rnacentral:rRNA from 1 species